rnacentral:lncRNA from 1 species
CAUGAUGGGGUCUCUGUCAUGAGGCCUUAAGUCACGCUAAGUUACUUGGGGCCUUUUCUGACUUCUGGAGCAGAACACUCAGGCGGAUCUGUGACCCCAAGUGACAGCACCCACAGCCGGAGAGAAGCCCUUUGAGACAGGUUUGGAAGGCACAAAAGCUAAUUCUUCUGCCUCCUCCGUGUCUCAAAGCAUAAAAAUCCUCCAAUCUCCCGCCUGGAAGGUCGACGCCUGGCUGUCCACCUUCUGGGGACAGAUGAAGGCAGAGGGCUGGGGCUGUCUCAGCACACAGUCUGUAAACUUAAUCCCACUGUAGUCACCUGUGCUGCUUGUUGACCCUCUGUUGUUCCUUCUUCGGAGAAUAAAACGCCUGUCUCUGCCAGCUUUUGGGGAGAGGCAGCAACCGGACUGCAUGGCGAGUGGGAGGGUGUGGAGUCUGGCU